AUUAGUGGCGAACGGGUGAGUAACACGUGAGUAACCUGCCCUUAACUCUGGGAUAAGCCUGGGAAACUAGGUCUAAUACCGGAUAGGAGCGCCUACCGCAUGGUGGGUGUUGGAAAGAUUUAUCGGUUUUGGAUGGACUCGCGGCCCAUCAGCUUGUUGGUGAGGUAAUGGCUCACCAAGGCGACGACGGGUAGCCGGCCUGAGAGGGUGACCGGCCACACUGGGACUGAGACACGGCCCAG
rnacentral:rRNA from 1 species